AAUGAACCCACACCCACCUAGUUUUGCCUUCCUUGAGUGAAAUGCGUUUAUUUAGCAUAAGUGAGAAGGGUAAACAAAACUAGUCUUUUUUUUUAAGGUGCAAGGAGUCGAUUGGUGAUAAUAAAACCAGAAAUGCCAUUUGGAUGAAGUGACACGGCUUGUGCUUGCAUAGUGUACUCCUGCCGUGAUGUCCCUGUGAAAUAGGUAAGCACAGCACGUGCUGCCAUAGGGCACGUCUGCAGAUUGGAAACUUACUGUUCUGACGUUUGCCUUGGCUUUUCUUUCAAGGCCAGAAACCAGCGACAGAGACAGAGAUGGUCAGGGGGAGGGGCGAGAAAAGAAAAAAAUGAAGGAAGAGAAAGGGAGGGAGGAAAGGAAAAGACACGAUUGCCCUGUAUGUCAUGUCACGGACGUGGACCCUGAGAGCCCGCUUCUGCUUGUGUCUCCCUCUGCAAGAGGAGGGCUGAGGAACUGGAAAAUAAAAGGACAAACAAGGUAUCAGAGCAGACCACGGCUGCCUCCUCGCCUUGAAAUGUUCUUGGACUCGGGAAGUCGAUAGACAAGAUGCAAUUGUGUUUCGCUACACUGGGGUCUCCGGCACUCUGAGAGGUGCCCGGGAGGAGCGAGCCCUGAACUGCCCUCUUCCCGGCGCCCUUCACGCCGUCCAGGAACAGCCGGCUGUGUGGACUCGGUUGCAGCAGAGCUCCGGCCCGCUUCCUAAGCAGCGCCUCGUCUGGCUGCGUGGACACCCUGACCAGCAGAGCGGGGAGUGCUCGGUGGUAGCAGCUCACUGAGUUCUCCUGGGGUAACGUGGAGGGAGGGAGAGCGCCAUUCUUAAGACCUCAGACGGAGGACAGUUGUGCGAUUCCCUCCUGGCUGCCGCUGUGAACCCUGACACCACCAGCCAACUCGCUCCUUUACCAUUGCUUCCCCCUCCUGCCUGUGUAUUCAACGAGUAUUUGUUGAAUCAAACUGAGAACCACAAAGGGAGAAGGCGGGGCAGGGAGUCCCAGCAGAGCAGGGGCUGCAGUCUGGGCCAAGCCUCGCAACCUGGCACGGGGCUGGCGCCCAGGGCUCCACGCAGGUUUUUGGCCAGCGAGACUCGGAGGCCGGCCAGCAGCGCACCAGUUGCUCUUCUGCUCGUUAUCUGUAUUCAGGGUGGCUGACGUAAGACGUAAUUUAGGUGAACACCAGCAAGAGAAAAAUGCAGUGGGCGUAAGAAGAAUUAGGACGUGUUAUGUCCAGGCACCAACUCCCCUCGGAGGAUGGAGUCAUCGUGCGCUGCAACAUGGACUAACCAAGUCUAGAGCUCUUGGCCCUAAACGUCUCUAAUAAAGCGCUGAGGUCACCAACACUUGCCUCGCAGCGGGUACAGUUCUACCAGCUUCACCAAAAGCCCACACCAUGAGGCUGGCCUGUGGCACCUGCCCUCGACAGAUGACAAAGCAACCCUGCAAGGCGGUGCUCACCCUUCCAACUUUCUGAAAUGGAGGAAAUAAUAUCUGUCCCUGACCACGUGCAGCUACUGAGCAUCAGAAAUGUGCCUGGCAUAGCUGAGAAGAUGGACUUCUACCUAAAUUAUGAUUAGAUUUAAAUAGCUACACGUGGAGCAGGCAUGGUGGCACAUGCCUGUAAUCCCAACACUCGAGAGUCUGAGGCAGGAGGGU